UAAAUAUUUUCCAGUUUGUUUGGCUUGUUUGCAUUUGCAGGUGUCUUGAUUGAUCCUGUCCUUCUAGAAAUAUGUUUAAGCAGAUAUGAAAUUAAUAGUUAAGAAUUUAUUUAUUUUGUCAUGUAGAAAUGCAUAGUAUAUCCUUUGAGAGUACAUGGUUUCCAAUAAAAACAUAUUGCUAUUCAGUUUGGUACAGUAUUCUAUUGGUAUACAUGAUGAAUAAUGACAUAUAGUCAAAUUAUCAUUUUUCUGUCUAAAAGUUUUAUAUUUUUCAUUUCAGAAGUUUAUGAUGAUCUUAGCAUGUAUCUCUUUUGAUUUAUCUAUCAAAAUAUCAUUCCACUUCUUGAUUAUCUGUAUGUCUUGCAUUAAUUUGAGAUAUUUCAAUUAAUGACUUUCUCAAAUAUUCCAUUUUACUUUCUUUCCCUCUCUUUCUGGAACUUAGAAGAGACGUGUUAUCUUCUGUGAAACUGUAUGAAACCCCUUCUAUCUGUUUUAUCUCUAUUUUUCAGAUUGAGCAGUUUCUAUUCAUUUUAUGCAAACUCUGUCUUCUAUCAUGCUCAUUCUACCAAGUUUUUACUUAUUUCAGUUAAUAUUAAUUUUCCAGUUUUAUAGUUUCAUUUUGGUCUGCCAAUAUUGCCCAGUGGAUAGGGAAACUUGCUGCCAAGCCUGAUGAGCUAGGAUCCAUCUCCAGGACCCACAUGUUAAGAACCAAUUCCUGAAAGAUGUACUCUGAUCUCUUCAUGUAUACUGUCACUUAUACAUACACAUACACACACACACACACACACACACACACACACACACCAACUAAAUAAAGGUUAAAAUGUUUAGUUUAGUCCUUUUUAAUGAAUUCCAUUUAUUUUAUUUAUUUUUACUCUUUAAUUUUUUUAAAUAUUUAUUUAUUUUUAUUCUAUGUAUAUGAAUGUUUUGCCUGUAUAUAUGUCUGUGCACCACAUGCAUGUCUUGUGCUCAUAAAGGGGACUGGGUGGGGUUAAGAGUGGGAAUGGUAACAGGAAGGAUCAGAUGUGAGGAGGAUGGAAGGAGAGGGAACUGGGAGAGGCAACUGGAUUGACAGGGGCAUCUCUGAGAUGAGCUAGAAACCUAGGGCAAUGGAAACUCCUAAGUAUCAGUGAGGGUGGCCCUACCUGAGACUCCUAGUGAUGGGGAUAUGGAGCCUGCACCAGCCAUCUCCUGUAACCAGGUAAGAUUUCUAAUGGAGGGAUUGGGACACCAACCCAGCUACUAACAUUCUACCUACGAUUUGUCCUGCUUGAAAGAUGUGCUAGGGUAAAUGUAAAAAUUGUGGGAGUAGCCAACCAAUAACACUCCAGUUUGAGACCCACACCAUGAGAAGGUCCCUGAGGGCCAGGAGCCAGAGGCAGAAUAGCCCAGGGACCUAUGAUAGAACCAAACACGAGUAGCAAAAAUUGUCACUGAAAUGAUCCCUAAUGAUAUUCUGUAUACUCAUAAGAUCAGUGCCUAGCAUAACUGUUCUUUGAGAGGUUUCACCCUGCAAGUGAUGAAAACAGAUGCAGAAAGCCACAGCCAACCAAACAUUAUGCAGAUCUGGGAAAAUCCUGUAGAAGAGAGGGAAGAAGGACGGUAGAAGCCAGAGUAGUUAAGGACAACACAAGAAAACCAAUAGAAUCAACUACCUUGAACCCAUAGGGGCUCACAGAGACUGAUCUGCCAACCAGGGAUCCUGCAUGGGAGUGACCGAGAACCUCUGUACAUAUGUUACAUUGUGUAGCAUGAUCUUCCUGUGGGACACCUAACAGUGGGGGUAAAGCUAUCUCUGACUCUGUUGCCUGACUUUGGAACCCUUUUCUCCUACUAGGUUGCCUUGUCUAGCCUUACUAGAAGAGGAGGUGCCCAGUCUUACUGCAACUUGGCCUUAUGCCAGUGGUCCUGACUGGAACAGCCAUGCCAUGUGCAGAAGACAGCAUUUCAAAGCACUCCUUUCCAUGUUCCUAAACUCAAAAUCUGUCCACUCUUUCUUUCAUGAUGUUCCUCGGUUUGGAGCGGCAAUCUGAUGUCCUCUUUAGGGCUGAGAGCUCAAGUCACUUGCUUUCAGCACAUCAACCAGGUAUGAGUCUCAACAUAUACCAUCUUCCAAUAUACAAAUAUAUAUAUAUAUUUUUAAAAAAAGAACUUUCUCUGGUCCAGGUUAAAAGCAGCAAUAAUCCAUGAAUAUAAACAUAAAUAUUUAGAAGGCAAUUUGAUUACAUGUCAACAGCACAUUGCAGAGUCUACUUCUAACCCUUAGGCCCUGCACUGUAUAAGCAAUUGCUUCUGAUUAAUUUCCUAUUGCUACUAUAUGGAAUUUCCACAGACACAUGGAAUGUAGAGAGAUUAAACUCCCUACAUUUAUUAUCUUUCAUUGCCAGAUUUCAGUACUCACCCUGAGCUGCCCUUGCAACUCUGAUUCAGUAUAAGGGCUUGCCAGACUUCUCAUGAAAAGUCUUGUCCAGAGCAGGAGAGAUUUAAACAUAUGCUUUGAUAACAGCCACUUUGAAAUGAGUUCUCUCCUAUACUAUGCCCACAUUCCCUAUAAAUGCUAUAUGACCAUAACAUUUUCUAAGGCAGUAUGAAUAUGACACAGAAUAAAUCUGACUUUACAUAGAUCUUACUCUGCUUUAAGCAACUCUGUUAACUACCAUGUUGACAUAUUGAGUCAGGUGGGGAUAAGGGCUAUAAUGAAAUUUUUCAUUAAAGGAAAAGAGAAUACUGUGUGAAAGUUAUUCUCAUUAAAGUAGAAGACAGGGGUGGUGGCGCACGUCUUUAAUCCCAGCACUCAGGAGGCAGAGGCAGGCGGAUUUCUGAGUUCGAGGCCAGCCUGGUCUACAAAGUGAGUUCCAGGACAGCCAGGGCUAUACAGAGAAACCCUGAUUCAAAAACAAAAAAAGUAGAAGACGGGGAAGAGAUAGAAAUUAAAACAUUUGGGGGCACAAUACUUAAGUGGGCUGGGAAACACACUGAAAACUUCAAGUGUUUGGAAUCUAGUGUUUAGAAAAAGAAAUUGGGGUUUAGAAAUAUCCAGGAACAUCAAUGUUUUUUCUGGUGUGUAUCAACUACACAUUAAAGAAUGUGUAGUUCAUUAGUUCUCCACCAUAGGCAGAGGGGCAACAAAAUGUUCCACUUUCUCAUUAAUGAAUGAAAAAAGGAACUUCUGUUGGAGUAGUUUGACCAAGAGUGAGCACCAAUUUAAAUUUUCUAUGUCUCUCCCUAUGUCUUUUGCCUGUGGCCCAUGGCCUCUCUAUGUUGCUUGUCUAUGUAUCUGAUUGUCCCCUGUUGCCUGUUUCUAACAAAGGGCUUUGCUUUGGAUGUAUUGAACACUAUAGGAAAUAUGGUAUGGAGAAGAAAUGAAGAAUUCCUUUAUUCAGGUCUACCCAGCAUUCCUAAUAAACAGGCACUCAUAGUGGAUUUGGGAACUGCAAAAUAAAUUCACAUUCCUGCAUCCUACUCAGAAGUUCCUUAAGCAAAAGCCAUGGAAAACCUAAGUCUAUAAGGCUUAUCUUUGCUGUCACAGGUUGUUUAUGGCCUGGCCUCGG
rnacentral:lncRNA from 1 species